rnacentral:tRNA from 2 species
GGAGAGGUGGCAGAGUGGUUGAAUGCGUCGGUCUCGAAAACCGAUUUACCCGAAAGGGUAACGAGGGUUCGAAUCCCUCCCUCUCCG